GAGGAGUGCACUUCUGUAAAGGAUGGGGGUACACAUGCUGUAACUGGUGGGAAUUGAGUGGAGGCCUACCGAGGCAUUGUAAUUAUUCUGGAUUAAGAAGAAACAACAAGAUGUGCUUGGUUUCCUAGAAGCCAACAAAAUAGGAUUUGAAGAAAAAGAUAUUGCAGCCAAUGAAGAGAAUCGGAAGUGGAUGAGAGAAAAUGUACCUGAAAAUAGUCGACCAGCCACAGGGUACCCCCUGCCACCUCAGAUUUUCAAUGAAAGCCAGUAUCGCGGGGACUAUGAUGCCUUCUUUGAAGCCAGAGAAAAUAAUGCAGUGUAUGCCUUCUUAGGCUUGACAGCUCCACCUGGUUCAAAGGAAGCAGAAGUGCAAGCAAAGCAGCAAGCAUGAACCUUAAGCACUGUGCUUUAAGCAUCCUGAAAAAUGAGUCUCCAUUGCUUUUAUAAAAUAGCAGAAUUAGCUUUGCUUCAUAAGAAAUCGGCUUAAUGUUGAAAUAAUGGAUUAGUUGGGUUUUCACAUGCAAACAUUCAAAAUGAAUACAAAAUUAAAAUUUGAACAUUAUGGUGAUUAUGGUGAGGAGAAUGGGAUAUUAACAUAAAAUUAUAUUAAUAAGUAGAUAUCAUAGAAAUAGUGUUGUUACCUGCCAAGCCAUCCUGUGUACACCAAUGAUUUUACAAAGAAAACACCCUUCCCUCCUUCUGCCAUUAUUAUGGCAACUUAAGUGUAUCUGCGGCUCUACAUUAAAAAGGAGAAA
rnacentral:sRNA from 1 species